AACAUGUCUUUUAGAUAAUAAUUUAAAGUUUAAUCUGCCCACUGAUGAAAUAUUAAAGGGCUGCAGUAUAUUGACUGUACAAAGGUAGCAUAAUCAAUAGUCUUUUAAUUGAAGACUUGUAUGAAGGAUUUGAUGAAAUAUAAACUGUCUCUAAUUUAAUAAUAGAAAUUAAUUUUUUAGUUAAAAAGCUAAAAUUUAUUUAAAAGACGAGAAGACCCUAUAGAGUUUUAUAUAAAUUUUAUUAAAGAUUAUAUUUAUAAUUAAAAAUUAAAAGUGAAAUUUAUAUUUUAUUGGGGUGAUAAAAAAAUUAAAAUAACUUUUUUUUAUAUUAAACAAAAAUAAGUGAAAAAUUGAUCCAUAAUUAAUGAUUAAAAGAAAAAAUUACCUUAGGGAUAACAGCGUAAUUUUUUUUUUUAGUACAAAUAAGAAAAAGAGUUUGCGACCUCGAUGUUGGAUUAAGAUAAAAUUUAAAUGCAAAAGUUUAAAAUUUUGAUCUGUUCGAUCAUUAAAAUCUUACAUGAUCU
rnacentral:rRNA from 1 species